rnacentral:lncRNA from 1 species
UUACCCCCAAAUGCUCUCUAGCCCCUUCUGAACCCUAGCAUGCUCCAGCUCUGUUUCACCGGCGAUUAUGGCUUCCCAAGCCUUAUCCACCACUCCUUACCUCCUAUGGCUCUUGGGUUCGAAGAUCGGAACCCUAUCUCGAAGGCUAUCAACCUAGAGGUCCUUCGACGUGAGUUUGUAGCCGUGUUCGGCCUUUUCCUGGCAAGCCUUGAGGCUGUGAGUCCUUCGUCGACUCCAAACCAGUCCGUUCCAGGCUUUCUCAUUCCUCCAUGGUUCUUUCUCUGAAACCCUAAUUUUUGAUAUUUUUUAUGUGUUUAUCUUUACGAUCUUCUUUAGAUCCCAGUUAUCUUCUAAAGUUUCAAAGUAUUUCUCACAUUUUCUUCGCCAAUUUUGUUGCAAACUGUUCGUCUUCUUAAAAUCUAGGGUUUCUCUGAUUUCUUUGAUUUUUUUUAUUGCUUUGCCUUAUCUGAUCUACUGUAUUUUCUUCUAGCUCUUACUGUGAUUUCUGAGUGCUUUCUACUAUGGCUCCUAGGUAUUUUACUUUACUGUGUUGUUUCUAGGGUUUCCGAGUUAAUAUGUUUACUGGUUCUCUGUUCUUUAUUAUGUUGUUCUUCCUGGGUUCAUCUUCAUCUAUGUUCUUCUCUACACUCUUAUGUGUACUAAUUCUCUGUUCUUCAUUAUGUUGUUCUUCCUGGGUUCAUCUUCAUCUAUGUUCAUCUCUACUCUCUAUAUGAGACAAAAUCCCUAAGUGCUAAGGAUUUUCCGCUCUCUCUAUGUACUUACUCGCUUCAUGUUCAAACCCUAGACUCCUCUAAUAUUUACUUUUGUGCUUCUGCCACAUGAUCUGUUCUAUAAUUCCAGUUAUGCAUGUUCAAAUCUAUGCAUCUUUAUAUAGUCACAUAUAUCCUUCUGAACAACCCUUAUUCUGGAGAAAAUUGAUUUCUUACAGCUUGUUUGAUUCUUUAAUUUGGACCUGCUCUUCGACUAAGUUCAAAAUCAAUCAGUAUCUCAAUUCCCUGAUUCUCUAGGUGAUUAACUUGCCUUAUGUGUUAAACGUGUGAAUUUCAAACCCCUUUUAUACGAACUUGUCCUGUAUUUUGUGACUUAUACUUGAUUUUCUUUCCAAAAAUAAACUGAGGUUUAUUUACCUCAAGACGGUUCCUUAAUUAGAGGAAACCCUUUCCCUAAUUGAUUGUAAUUGAUACUGAGAUUAUUUUCUUGCCUUAGUGCUUCUUAUUUUCAAACUAUAAAUAUUCUCCACCUCUUCUCACUUUACACACAGAGAUACAUGAGCUAUCCUAAGUUUACUCACUGAAAAACUCUCUCUUCUCUUCUGUUCUUCUCUGUUACUUGUUCUAUUGCUAGAUUUUUGCCGGCUGAAAGCCAAGGAUAAAUUAUAAGGUCUCGUAUGCUUUACUACUCAAAUUUGCAACUGGUAGGUUCUUAAUUUACAUUAUUAAUUCCCAAACUACCUGUUUACUUAAUCCCUUUUCCCUAUCUGUUUAUGACUAAGGUUCAGCAUGCACACCCCUUCCCCCCAUGUCUAUUUGCGUUCAGUAUGUAGUUGAUUUCAACAAUGCACAUCCCUACCCCAUAUCCCCCAUACUUCUGAUACUGUAUACUUUUGUGAGUGCAUUCUUGUACAUCCCUUUCCCAAAACCUUUUAGUUAAUUCUGUUUAUUACAAGUGCCCUUAUGUGACCCCCAUUCCCUUAACCCCUGUUUGUAUAUGAGUGUAUUUUGGACUAGGAUGGCACCUCAUUGCCACUCCUAGUUUAUAUCCAAGGUUGCAUUCAUCCUAUACUCAAAGUAAUCCCAUCCCCUCAAUCCCCCUAUUAUGUGUUUGAGCUUGACACAGGCCUAUUGGUGUCCUAAUCACCAUACAGGCCCUAGUCUGACUUGCUUUCAGGUCUACUCCUAUAUGUAAACCAUGCAAAGGUCAGGGGUGUGCCAAUCUCAUUCAUG